AUACAGAGAAAUAGGAAAUAAUGCAGGACCAGACAAGAAAUACAGGCACAAAUAAGAUGUUAAUGCCCGAUAAAGUAUUUUGCCUUAAUCUAGAAAUAUUUAUCCUAGCAACAAAGUACGCAGAGGCUGCCAUGCAGCUUUCAGAGCAGAUCUGCUCCCUGUUACCGCUCGGCUGGAGCCCAGGGGAGGUGACACCACGCGAACGCUUGCCUCCACUGCCCCUCUAGCUGCUCGUUGCUUAGUAAAGCAGGCUGCAUUUCUGAGGCAGCCCUCAGGCUGCAUCCUACAGCCAGUGGCAGGGACAAUAAGCCCCUGAGGGUGUUAGAAUGGAAAUGAAGCAUUUUCACUUUGUAGCUUGAGUUCCAAAUUUUCAGAAGAGCAAAGGCAGUGCUGUUUCAGAUACCGUAACUAAUGCACCUGGAGGCUCUGAGCAGACACCUCACAAGCGCCUCAGGAAGUUCUCACAAUGCAACCCAGUUCAGCUGCUCAUCAGGUGUUCCCACAAGACCCUGAUUACACACCUUGCACUUCACAGGAAGAAUUUCAAGGGAGAGAAUCUCAGGAGCACCGCCAGUGAAGGCAGCAGUCACACACCCAAUGCUAGCACUCAGUGUCCUGACAGCAAGGCACUACCAACACUGUAAAUGCCUCGUUUGGACAAUUACCGACAAACCAGCAUGGGGGAGCUACCACCAUGAAGCAGGGUUCCAUCAAUACAGUUUUUGACUCCCGAAGGCAGGAGAAGAGCAGCACAAAGGCCAUGUCCUGACCUGCCUCUGAGCUGUUCCUCCCUGCCUCUGCAUCCAAGAACCCCACGGGCUGUGCUGCCAUCACGGGUGUGGGCCCUGCUCCCACAGAGCAGACUCAGUAAUGAAGGGAGAACGAAGGGGAGUGGAGCAUAAGGCCAAAAGGAUAAAACGAACCGUUCCCUCCCCUUCUGCUCACUGCACUAAGACUGGCUACCUGCACUAUAAACUAUAAAGGAAAUUGAAGUUUCUAUCCUUAAGGCUCCUGUCCAAGCCUCUGUGAGAACGCUGUAAGAGACAGCACGAUUCAGCAUGAUGGCUGUCUUUCCAAAAAGACAUGGUAAUGGCCUUAAUAAGACUGGUUUAACUAAUAGUGGAGAUUAGGAUAGCAUAGAGAUCUUGGCAAGAAUUAUGAGCCACAUCUCCAGAAAAUAAAACAAAUCAAGGAACCUUAAGAUUAGCUUUAGAUUUAUGAAUAGUGCAGGACACAAACUGACAGUGUGCAAGUCCUUCCACCUUCUAGCACACACGAGGAUCUUUAGAAUGCCAGGUCAAUUAGAGCUGACCAAAUAUCUCCACCGUGCAGCAUAAAGGAAGAGAAGAAAUACUGUGUUUUGUCCUGUGCUGCCUCUCAGUUCUGUAGUCUUCAGCAUUGUUUUAUGUCCAUUUUUUUUUUCCAACGGAAUAGGAUUGCAGGGGCACUGAGCAAGCAGUUUGCAUGCAUGAAUGCUGCUGCUCAAAACCAACCUAGAGAGCCCCCUCUACAAGCAGGUUUGUUGCUGCAUAUUCCAGUCAGCUCACACAGGAGUAAUUUAAGUGAAAUCAUACUGAGAUCAUACAGUCAUCUGAUCUGAUGACUUAGUCACUGAGACACAUGGGUGUACUUUGGGUUCUCAGACAUUACUGCAACUAAAUACUUGAAAAACAAAAUAUUUGAGUAAGUCGCUGUUACUGAUUAGCUCGCAGGUGUGGAGAAUCUCCAGGCAGAGGCUAAAUCAAAACAGCUUGAAAUCAUCUGCUGUGCAGUGUCAUUUGCUCUGGGGACCGCGCUGACAUUGGCAGGGGUUGGACUGUGGGCUACUCUGGAUGAAAGCCAGAAAGGGAAAAGAAAUAGGAAAAUGCAGAUUUUAAACACUAGAAUUUUACCAAGAGGCACAGUUAAACAUCCAGGAACUUAGA